rnacentral:tRNA from 1 species
GGCCUCGUAGCUAAGUUGGCUAAAGCGUUGGCUGUAUUAAGGCCUUCCCCAUGCUGAAGUGGAUUCGAAUCCCACCGAAGCCG